rnacentral:tRNA from 1 species
AUUCUGAUAGCUUAUGUAUAGAGCAUAGCACUGAAGAUGCUAAGGAAGCAGGCUGCUUUAGAAUA